UCAAACUCGCUCCUUUUGCUCUAAAAUAUGCUUAACUUCUGUGUAUGUGCAUUACCUGUAAAAGAGAACAACUUUGUUAUUCAAUAGAUUAGCAAUUAGAGUUUGAUCGAGACUCCAAUGCUUAUCCUUAGUCGAUUUGAGUCCUUAAGCAAUACAAACUCCAACCCUUAUCUUAGCUUAGGAUUGUGUUCUCUUAUUAUAAGGAGGCUUUUCUACUUAGAACUCAAUGCAAUCUUUUCGAUUCAGUUCAGAAGAUAUUGCUGCAUGAUCUUCAAUACAUAUCUUCCUCACGUGCCUCCAAUGUGCAAUGGUUAUGUCAAACGGUGUCUCUCAAGAUGGACUAGGUCCUUCCCUGAGUUCACUUGUCAAUCUUCAAAACUUCAAUUGAACUUGGGCCAACAAAUUCCCCCUUUUUGAUGAUGACAAGCUCUAUGCUUUUAGUAAUCAGAGAACCUGUGGAACUCAGUUGAAACAUCAACACUUACAGAAUUUUUAACUUAUCACCAACGGCCACAUUUAAAUUAGGUCAUAAAUAUCACUUGUUCAGAUAAUGAAUUUAAUCACAAUAUCUUCUCCCUUUUGGCAUCAUCGAAAAGUUGCAUAAAUAAUAUGAAUCCCAGAAAGUUAAUUAGUACUCAUGGCCACUGGGACAACUGCAAGUGAACACAUGCUUUAGUUAAUUAAAAAUCAACUCAUCAAAAUUAACUAUUAAGAACAUA
rnacentral:lncRNA from 1 species